rnacentral:rRNA from 1 species
UAACCUGCCCAAGAGAUCGGGAUAACACCUGGAAACAGAUGCUAAUACCGGAUAACAACAGAUGAUGCCUAUCAACUGUUUAAAAGAUGGUUCUGCUAUCACUCUUGGAUGGACCUGCGGUGCAUUAGCUAGUUGGUAGGGUAACGGCCUACCAAGGCGACGAUGCAUAGCCGAGUUGAGAGACUGAUCGGCCACAUUGGGACUGAGACACGGCCCAAACUCCUACGGGAGGCAGCAGCA